AAACCAUGAUGUGGGCAUAAUCUCAUCAUGUCCUUGUAUCUCUUCCAAGCCUUAAAGAGGGAUUCAUUGUUGGUCUUUCUAAAACAGGUUAUCUGGUUUCUUAACAC